UAUCUCUGUAGAGUCUGCAUAUCAAUAAGCGGAGGAAAAGAAACUAACUAGGAUUCCCUCAGUAACGGCGAGUGAAGCGGGAAGAGCUCAAAUUUGAAAUCUUCAAGGGUUUACCUUUACGAAUUGUAGUUUAAAGAAGUGUUUCUGUUGAAGUUUCGGUAAAAGUUCUUUGGAAUAGGACAUCAUAGAGGGUGAGAAUCCCGUAUUUGACCGUUAUUUUCAGCUGUGUGAUACACUUUCAAAGAGUCGGAUUGUUUGGGAAUGCAGUCCAAAAUGGGUGGUAAAUUUCAUCUAAAGCUAAAUAUUGGCGAGAGACCGAUAGCGAACAAGUAUCGUGAGGGAAAGAUGAAAAGAACUUUGAAAAGAGAGUUAAACAGUACGUGAAAUUGUCAAAAGGGAAGCGUUUGACACCAGUGUUGUUUUCUCGAAAAUCAAUUAAAAAGUAUGGGAUUUUGUAUUGUUAAGACCUUAUCAGCUUACGGUGCUUUUUUCUUAUUCUUUUUAAUGCACUUUUCGUUUAACAAGUCAACAUCAGUUUCUUUUGUUGUAAAAAGGUCAUUGGAAGGUGGCUUUCUUUUCGGAGAAAGUGUUUAUAGCCUUUGACUCCUGCAAUCGGAGAGACUGAGGUCUGCAGCGUAGAUCCUUCUUGGAUUAGAUUCAUUUGUGCUAAGUUAUAGCUUUUCAUAGACAACUUGUUGACUAUGUUUAGUCUUGUAGCUUACUCGCUUAUGUAAUUUUACCUACGCUUAGGAUGUUGAUCUCUCACAGUCGAGC
rnacentral:rRNA from 1 species